CUGGCGGCAUGCCUAACACAUGCAAGUCGAACGGAACUAAGGGGCUUGCCCCUUAGUUAGUGGCGGACGGGUGAGUAACGCGUGAGCAACCUGCCUUUCAGUGGGGAAUAAUAUCCUGAAAAGGGUACUAAUACCGCAUAACGUAACGAGAUCGCAUGGUUUUGUUACCAAAGAUUUAUCGCUGAGAGAUGGGCUCGCGUCCGAUUAGCCAGUUGGUGGGGUAACGGCCUACCAAAGCUACGAUCGGUAGCCGGACUGAGAGGUUGAGCGGCCACAUUGGGACUGAGACACGGCCCAGACUCCUACGGGAGGCAGCAGUGGGGGAUAUUGCGCAAUGGGGGAAACCCUGAACCGCAGCAAUGCCGCGUGAAGGAUGAAGGUCUUCGGAUUGUAAACUUCUUUUGUCAGGGACGAAAAUUGACGGUACCUGACGAAUAAGCUCCGGCUAACUACGUGCCAGCCGCGGC
rnacentral:rRNA from 1 species